UACGGAGGGUGCAAGCGUUAUCCGGAUUCACUGGGUUUAAAGGGUGCGUAGGUGGGCAGGUAAGUCAGUGGUGAAAUCUCCGGGCUUAACCCGGAAACUGCCAUCGAUACUAUCUGUCUUGAAUACCGUGGAGGUGAGCGGAAUAUGUCAUGUAGCGGUGAAAUGCUUAGAUAUGACAUAGAACACCAAUUGCGAAGGCAGCUCACUACGCGAAUAUUGACACUGAGGCACGAAAGCGUGGGGAUCAAACAGG
rnacentral:rRNA from 1 species